rnacentral:tmRNA from 1 species
GGGGAUGUUCCGGUUUCGACGGGACAGGUAAGGUAUAAGGCGCAGUCGGGUGGUCGCGUCAAAGACCAAAAAACAAUAUCUGGCAACAGAUCUCAACUUUCCUACGCAGCUUGCUAGUUUAAGCCAUCGAUGAUGUUCCCGUAUCGGGAAUGCGAGGCAUCUUCCGCGAUCGGGUCUCUGGGUCGCGGACAGGUGUAAGAUUCAGAGAAUAAGGUCCGUCGAUAUCUAUAAGGCGGAUUCGAAAACAGCAUAGGUUAGUCAGGAGUCGAUCCGUCAGCCGAUCCCGCUCCUGAUGAAGGCGCAUGGCUGACUAAACUGUAGGGGCUUAUAUGGGAUCUGUUUCGGACAGGAGUUCGAUUCUCCUCAUCUCCACCA